CAAAUGGUGGCGCUGUUUGGAAAAUUUGAAAACAACACUAUUGGCCAUUUAUUUGGAUUUCGAAGAUCCUGGUCCUGGCUGAAAUUUAGAGUAUUGCAGCUGUAGUCUGUAUACCAUACACUCAACAUGAAAAGGACUGUCAGGAUGCUGCAUAAAAUGGUCUUAGCUAGAGCCUAGAAUGUUAAUUUCUUGGGAAUAUGCUGCAAGGAACUGACGGGGAGCAGUUUUUCUUACCAAUCAUAGAAGCAGUAAGAGAAAGCCAAGGAAGUACUCAAACACCUGACAUACCCAGAAAGAUCUAGAAGAAAAGAUUGGAACAGAUUGUAGCUUAAUUGUUAAAACUAUUAAAGUGAAUUUAAGCUGCACUUGAACUGUAUUUUUUAAUUAAAAUAUCUGAAGUAUUUAAUAUUGUCUUGAUAUUUUGUUAAACUUGGUAACUUUGCUUUAUAUCCAAAAAUUAAAGUAUGGUGGGUUUUCAACGUUGAAAUGACAUUGAAACUUCAACGUUGUACCAACGUUGAAGCUGCAACGUUGUAUCAACGUUGAAAUUUCAACGUUGUUUCAACUUUCAAAUCCGAA